GGCAAAUGGGGCAGCCUAACACAUGCAAGUCGAGCGGCAGCACGGGUACUUGUACCUGGUGGCGAGCGGCGGACGGGUGAGUAAUGCCUAGGAAUCUGCCUAGUAGUGGGGGUGAACGUCCGGAAACGGGCGCUAAUACCGCAUACGUCCUACGGGAGAAAGUGGGGGAUCUUCGGACCUCACGCUAUUAGAUGAGCCUAGGUCGGAUUAGCUAGUUGGUGAGGUAAUGGCUCACCAAGGCGACGAUCCGUAACUGGUCUGAGAGGAUGAUCAGUCACACUGGAACUGAGACACGGUCCAGACUCCUACGGGAGGCAGCAGUGGGGAAUAUUGGACAAUGGGCGAAAGCCUGAUCCAGCCAUGCCGCGUGUGUGAAGAAGGUCUUCGGAUUGUAAAGCACUUUAAGUUGGGAGGAAGGGCAGUUACCUAAUACGUGAUUGUUUUGACGUUACCGACAGAAUAAGCACCGGCUAACUCUGUGCCAGCAGCCGCGGUAAUACAGAGGGUGCAAGCGUUAAUCGGAAUUACUGGGCGUAAAGCGCGCGUAGGUGGUUUGUUAAGUUGGAUGUGAAAGCCCCCGGGCUCAACCUGGGAACUGCAUCCAAAACUGGCAAGCUAGAGUAUGGUAGAGGGUGGUGGAAUUUCCUGUGUAGCGGUGAAAUGCGUAGAUAUAGGAAGGAACACCAGUGGCGAAAGGCGACCACCUGGGACUGAUACUGACACUGAGGUGCGAAAGCGUGGGGAGCAAACAGGAUUAGAUACCCUGGUAGUCCACGCCGUAACGAUGUCAACUAGCCGUUUGGGGAGCCUUGAGCUCUUAGUGGCGCAGCUACGCAUUAAGUUGACCGCCUGGGGAGUACGGCCGCAAGUUAACUCAAUGUUGACGGGGCCCGCACAGCCGUGAGCAUGGUGGUUACUCGAGCCACGCGAGACUACCAAGUCUGGACAUUCAAUGAACUUUCUAGAGAUAGAUGAUGCCUCAGUACAUGGAACGGCUGCAUGGCUGCCGUCAGUCAGUUCUGACGUAGGUAGCUCCGUACGAGACAACUUGUCU
rnacentral:rRNA from 1 species